rnacentral:rRNA from 1 species
GAUGAACGCUGGCGGCGUGCUUAACACAUGCAAGUCGAACGGUGAAGCAGGAGCUUGCUCUUGUGGAUCAGUGGCGAACGGGUGAGUAACACGUGAGCAACCUGCCCCUGACUCUGGGAUAAGCGCUGGAAACGGCGUCUAAUACUGGAUAUGUGAUGUGACCGCAUGGUCUGCAUCUGGAAAGAAUUUCGGUUGGGGAUGGGGUCGCGGCCUAUCAGCUUGUUGGUGAGGUAAGGGCUCACCAAGGCGUCGACGGGUAGCCGGCCUGGGAGGGUGACCGGCCACACUGGGACUGAGACACGGCCCAGACUCCUACGGGAGGCAGCAGUGGGGAAUAUUGCACAAUGGGCGGAAGCCUGAUGCAGCAACGCCGCGUGAGGGAUGACGGCCUUCGGGUUGUAAACCUCUUUUAGCAGGGAAGAAGCGAAAGUGACGGUACCUGCAGAAAAAGCACCGGCUAACUACGUGCCAGCCGCCGCCGUAA